AUACGUAGGGUGCGAGCGUUGUCCGGAAUUACUGGGCGUAAAGAGCUCGUAGGUGGUUUGUCGCGUCGUCUGUGAAAUUCCGGGGCUUAACUCCGGGCGUGCAGGCGAUACGGGCAUAACUUGAGUACUGUAGGGGAGACUGGAAUUCCUGGUGUAGCGGUGAAAUGCGCAGAUAUCAGGAGGAACACCGGUGGCGAAGGAGUGGCUCUGGGCAGUAACUGACGCUGAGGAGCGAAAGCAUGGGUAGCGAACAGGAUUAGAUACCCUGGUAGUCCAUGCCGUAAACGGUGGGCGCUAGGUGUAGGGGUCUUCCACGACUUCUGUGCCGUAGCUAACGCAUUAAGCGCCCCGCCUGGGGAGUACGGCCGCAAGGCUAAAACUCAAAGGAAUUGACGGGG
rnacentral:rRNA from 1 species